GAGCAUUAAUAGGUUUCCCUUAAGAAAAAGAGUAUUAAUAGGUUCAGUGCUCAGGACUAGCCAGAGUUUUAGUUGCGCAGAUUCUGAAGUCGCCGCCCAACACAAGGCAAACGAGCUUCAACUAACUAGGAUAUAAGAUAGCAACUAGCUACAAAUCAAGCUUCAAUCAACACAGAACCAAUUGGGGUUGUCCAGGAGCAGCUGACGCCGAUAUUUGUGUCAGGCUGGGAGGAUCAAGCACAGACGAUGCGAAGCAGCGCCCCACGGUGGAGGUCCAGUAAUAGCAGGCAGCGAAGAAGCACUCCUCAGACUCCAAAGCACAGCAGCACAGAGAGCAUUACAGACAGCAUAACGUUUACUCUCCAGCCACCAACGGCCGAUGUCUUGUAAAGACGCAGGGGUACGAACAUGAAAAGAAUCUGCAAUAAAUUGACACGUUUGUUUAGAAAUCUACACGAUAGAAAAAACAAGUGCUGCGAACUUUAUGAUUCACCACCGAAAAAGCAGAAUAUAUCAUCAACAGUUCGGCGCUUCAAAGGAUUAUCUCUGGUUAGAAUUUUGUUAUGAACCAGCAUCUAUAAGAGAACAUGAAUCUUAGGUGGAUCCUGGAUUCCAAAGAGCAUCACCCCACCGAGAUUUAAUCCCACCAAAGUUGAGGAAAUAAUAAAAAGAUUUCAGUGUAGCAUCCACAUAAAUUAUAUAAAAGACUACAAUACAAGUUACACAACUUGUUUCAUUUUCUGGUUUCCAUUUUGGUUACAAAUAACUAUAUUUUGUAACAGAAAGAUCUCAGCGUAGCAUCCAGAUGAAUUAUAUAAAAGACUACAAUACAAGUUACACAACCUGUUUCAUUUUCUGAUUUUCAUUUUGGUUGCAAAUAAUUAUAUCUUGUAACAAAAUUUAUUAGGGUAAGUUUCUUUCCAUCUUUUACUUGCAUGUUUUUUUGCAUAAAUUUUCAAAACCUCCAAAUAUGUAUUUCGCCGAGCUCUAAAAAUUGUAUGUACACCCCAGAUUAUAAAAGUCCUCUCCUGGAGCAGAUGCCACAUAUUCCUCUUGUUCUUGCCAGUUAGGUGCGUCGUCCUCGUUGGGUUGGACCAUCACUAUCUUUAAGGCUUGAACCCUCCUUCCUAUCAGUAUAGGGAGCCCACGGUCGGCUUCGUUUGACUCAACGAAUUCCACAGUUUCGUUGUGAAAAGGAGUAUUACGCUUCACACCAGCUGUACUUUUGCUGUUCAAGACUAGUUUCUGGUAUCAUCCCCUCGUUUUCAUGCAACUUCCUACUUACGCUGAUGUAAACGUUCGGAUUUGGAAAUAGUGGUAAUGACAUAGCAGUGCUAUUUAUUUAUUUAUAGCAUCAAGAAUGACUCCUUCAUGCAGAAGUUGUUCAAUCUGGCCCAUCAGAGAUAAGCAGGGAACAGGGGACACACUGAAAUGUCUUCAUCCUUUUUGGCCCCUUCAUAACAUUAAUACCAGAAAAAUCUGAGCCUUAAUUUCCGAUACUAGACAGAUUUACUUAACGAUCGAAUCAAAGCAGUAUUACGGAUUAUGUGCAGGCAGCCAAUCAACAAAAACAAAAAUGAUCCAAAAAACAGGAAAGAUGCAAAUUGAGGUUAAAAUUCAGAUUCAUUUAUCUGCCGUCUAGUAUUAUAUUAUUAUCCUUUGUUUACUGUUCUACCAUUUGUGCAAAACCAUUGUCGCAUCAACAAAUAAAUGAACUGAGAAAAUGGCCUGCACUUUGUUAGACCAAGGAAAACAAAGCAGAAUUCACUGUCACUGAAAAGUAUUGGGUACACACUGUGACACUAACCACCACAAAACAACAGCUGUCUAAGCAAGGGGCGGACGCCCUUUGCGGGGCAUUUGAUCGAGCAAACGAUGACCGAUCUUGAAUCUGAAAGGAACCAUUCGACAGUCAGAAUUACAUACAAACAUAGUUCGUAGCCCAGAUGCUGGUGUCCAGCAAGGCAGCAACGUCUCAGGAGUCAUGCAUGACAGCCAACCAAGCAAAUAACUAUAUCUUCACCGCCGCCGGUGCCUUUGAUUCCAGAUAGGGAGCCUUGACCUCGACCGUCUGCAAGAGACAAAACGGCCGGCCGGAGGAAUACAUCGAUUAUUAGGGACUGACCGCUGGCGCUAAUCGCAGGCAGUAUAAAGAACAACCUUGCCCGGUUACUACCUCCACAGACCACAGCUCCACACAACAAAUGAAGCCCUUAGGCACAUCGCCCUCUUCUGGCCUGCACCUAGCUCCAUUGCUAAUUGUCCUAUUCAUGCACGGGCCUCAUCUGCUUGUAGUUGUAGCAGACAACCUCACGGCCGGAUCGUCUCUCAGGCCCCCUCAGUACAUCACCUGCCCCUCCGGUGACUUCGCCUUUGGCUUCCGUGCCCUCGACUAUGACCCCAGUCAGUUCCUCCUCGCCGUCUGGUUCAACCUCAACCUUGACCCGGCAGCCGACCCCGGGCAGAAGAAGGUGGUGUGGUACGCGAAAGACCCGGUCUCAGACUCGGCAAUCAUGGCCACGGGGCAGGCCGUAUUCAGUAUCACCCCCCAUGGUGAGCUCUUGCUCACAGACUCCACCACCGGCGGCAACAUCUGGACGAACCCGAGCCCUGGCCAGUCAGGGAACGUCCUCACGCUACAGGACUCGGGCAACCUCCAGUUCAUCGCCAUCGGGGGGAGCACCGUCGUCUGGGAGACCUUUCGGCACCCGACCGACACGCUCCUCCCGGGGCAGACAAUGGUCUCUGGAGCAAGUCUUCAGUCUAAGCAAUCAGACACAGACUUCUCUGCUGGCCGCUUCAGCUUGUAUGUGCAGGCUGACGGCAAUAUAGUCUUGUACCUCAUGAACCUCGCCGGUGACAUGGACUCAUACAAUUCAUACUGGCGCACCGGCACCGGCCAGCCCGGGCAAACCCAGGACGGCAACACCACCCUUUUCUUCGAUUCGCCGGGCCACCUCCACUACCAGAUCAAGGAUGGCACGAUGCGCGAUCUGACACCUCCCAUGCCGAACUCCACCGUUAGUUACUACAAGCAUGCAACGCUUGAUCCAGAUGGCAUUGUUCGUGUCUACACCCUGCAGAAGAAUGCCACCGGAAGGCGCAAUGUGCCAUGGACGAUCUUUGGGCUGUUCCCAAGCAAUGGUUGCAGCAGCAGCACUACAGGCUGGGAAGGAAUGUGCGGCCCCAACUCGUACUGUGUUUAUGGUCCUAACAACAAGCUCGAUUGUGAGUGCCCAAGUGGUUACUCCUUCAUCGAUCCUAGGCUCAAGUACAGAGGCUGCACACCAGUGUUCGUGCCACAGAGCUGUGAUGGGAAGAACCGGCCCUCCGAGUUCAGUCUUGUUAAGUUGCCAAACACCACUUGGUUGCUGUCAUCAUACAGAGGGUAUUCGUACACCACAGAGGAGAAGUGCGACAACUCAUGCUUGCGAGACUGCUUCUGCACUGCCACUCUGUUCGAUGGAAAAGUUUGUUACAAAAUGGCAUUAUUGGCGGGCGCAGGAUGGCAGGAAGGAAGCCUCAACAUGAAGGCAUCGAUCAAGGUGCGGACAAGCAGCCUCCCGAUGCCGACAUCACCGAGAAGACCAUUGCCUUAUUUACUGCUGAUUUGCUCGGUGCUAUUGAUGCUGGCUGCAGCAAGUAGUCUCAUGCUACAUUUUUGCCUUCGGAAGAAGAACACUAACCAUGAUUUCCUGAGGGUUUUCACCCGAAAGGAGCUUUACAAAGCCACCAAUGGCUUUCACAAGUUGUUGGGCAAAGGAGGCUUUGGAGAGGUCUACCAUGGGGUGAUAAUGUCGUUACACGCCUCUGAUGUAGCAGUGAAGAAGCUCAUCAACUCCAACGAGUACAGCGAGCGGGAGUUCGCGAAUGAGGUGCAGUCCAUCGGCAGGAUUCAUCAUAGGAAUCUAGUGCGCAUGGUCGGUUACUGCAAGGAGCAGGAGCAAAGGAUGCUUGUGUUUGAGUUCAUGCCAGGCGGCUCCCUUCGAAGCUUCGUCUUCCAACCUCAACGGCCGUUGUGGACGUGGCGUGUAGAGGCAGCAAUUGGGAUUGCCAAAGGGCUAGAGUAUUUACAUGAAGGCUGCGAUUCUCCGAUCAUUCAUUGUGACAUCAAGCCCGACAAUAUACUUCUAGAUGGCAAGAACAAUCCAAAGAUAACUGACUUUGGGAUCGCCAAGCUUCUCAACAACCAGCAGAUGCACACGACAGUGACCAAUAUCAGAGGCACAAGGGGAUAUAUUGCCCCUGAGUGGUUCCAAAGCGACAGGCGCAUCGACACCAAGGUUGAUGUUUACAGCUUUGGCGUUGUGUUACUAGAGAUGAUAUGCUGCCUGAAGUGCCAGGAGCCGGUGACAGGGCAGGAUGGUGAAGAUUCAGUCACAUUGUUCUGGUGGGCCGGUCAAUUGGUUCAUCAUGGCAGGACUGAAAUUCUGCUGCAUGAUGACGAUGAUGCCAUGGAGGACUUGGUCAGGGUGAAGAGGUUCUCACGUGUCGCAUUCUGGUGCAUCGAGCAGAAUCCUUUGUUGCGACCAACAAUGCACCAAGUUGUGCAGAUGUUGGAGGGUGUUGUUGAGGUUGGCAUUCUACCUGAUCCUCCAAACUCCACAGACCAUCCUUGAUCUCUUCAGUUGGCCAGAGCACUUUGCCGUCAAGUUGUACUGAUUGUCUGAUCUUCAAGUGGAGUGAUUCGCGUUGUAUUAUCAAGCGUGCUCAACAUUUCUAAGUCAUAUAGGCUGCAGAGCUGAAAUAAAAUUUCUUUUCUUCUCUCCAAUGCUUCUCACCAUGACUUAAUUAUUCACUACUGUACUGUGUAUUUAAUUUGUGAUGGUGUAGCUCAUUCCUUGAAACAACCUAACAGUCACACACUGCAAUCUGUGUAGACAUCUUCUAGUAAAUGGGAGAGUACAACUAUAUUAUAGCAGUGCCUACCUUUUUCAAUUAAAGAUUAGGUAAGCUUCCUUGGCCCGCGAAAACCGAAUUCCACUAUGUUGAGUGUCUGGAGUUAUCAAGAGCUGUACCUAAAUUUUUAAGCUUUUAUUUGUUUUGAGAUUCGAGUGAUUUUCUCUUUAUUAGUUGGCAAAUUUCGUAGAAGAGAUUAUACAGUUGGUACAGAUGUGCUGGAAGGACAGAACAGAAUAGAACUUCUGAAAAUUCCUCUGUGAGUAGAAGCAAGAGUACAAAUUGUCCCAUAUGAAUGCUAGAACUAGUCACAGGAUGUUAUUUGGUCCGACUAAGUGCAUCAGAGUGAUUUAUGAAAACAUACCACAUAGGCAGUG
rnacentral:lncRNA from 1 species